GACGAACGCUGGCGGCAUGCCUAACACAUGCAAGUCGAACGGAGAUUAUUUCGGUAAUCUUAGUGGCGAACGGGUGAGUAACGCGUGGGCAACCUGCCCUCUAGAUGGGGACAACAUCCCGAAAGGGGUGCUAAUACCGAAUGUGACAGCAAUCUCGCAUGAGGAUGCUGUGAAAGAUGGCCUCUAUUUAUAAGCUAUCGCUAGAGGAUGGGCCUGCGUCUGAUUAGCUAGUUGGUGGGGUAACGGCCUACCAAGGCGAUGAUCAGUAGCCGGUCUGAGAGGACGAACGGCCACAGUGGGACGUGACACGGGCCCAGACCCAGGGGGGAGGCGGCAGGGGGGAUUCUUCGGAAAGGGGCAAAGGCCGGAGGGACAAUGGCGGGGGGGUGAAGGAGGAAUUUCUUACCGAAAAGUUUUUUUUUUUAUGAGAAAGGAGCAGUUUGUGAAAAAUUACUUGUAAGGAGGGUAGAAAACAAAAAAGCCACGGCAAACUACGUC
rnacentral:rRNA from 1 species